rnacentral:rRNA from 1 species
CUGGGGAUCUGCCCGAUAGAGGGGGAUAACCACUGGAAACGGUGGCUAAUACCGCAUAACGUCGCAAGACCAAAGAGGGGGACCUUCGGGCCUCUCACUAUCGGAUGAACCCAGAUGGGAUUAGCUAGUAGGCGGGGUAAUGGCCCACCUAGGCCACUAUCCCUAUCUGGUCUGAGAGGAUGACCACCCACACUGGAACUGAGACACGGUCCACACUCCUACGGGAGGCAGCAGUGGGGAAUAUUGCACAAUGGGCGCAAGCCUGAUGCACCCAUGCCGCGUGUAUGAAAAAGGCCUUCGGGUUGUAAAGUACUUUCAGCGGGGAAGAAGGCGGUGCGGUUAAUAACCGCGUCUAUUGACGUUACCCGCAAAAGAAGCACCGGCUAACUCCGUGCCAGCACCCGCGGUAAUACAGAGGGUGCAAGCGUUAAUC